rfam:Xenopus tropicalis strain Nigerian scaffold_8441_contig_1, whole genome shotgun sequence.
GCGUUAGUAGUGUAGGGGUAUCAUGCAAGCUUCCAUUCUUGCGACCUUGGUUCCAGUCCCGGCUAGCGCA